UACAGAGGUCUCAAGCGUUGUUCGGAUUCAUUGGGCGUAAAGGGUGCGUAGGCGGCGGGGCAAGUCGGAUGUGAAAGCCCCCGGCUCAACUGGGGAGGGUCACGCGAUACUGAUCGACUCGAAGGCAGGAGAGGGUAGUGGAAUUCCCGGUGUAGCGGUGAAAUGCGUAGAUAUCAGGAGGAACACCGGCGGUGUAGACGGCUAUCUGGACAGCAACUGACGCUGAGACACGAAAGCGUGGGGAGCAAACAGG
rnacentral:rRNA from 1 species